CUGGAGAAUGGGCAGCCCAGUGAGGAAAGAUCAAUGGGAGAAAGGCUUGUAACUUUCUCCCAUUUUCUAGAAAUUUGUGACUUUCUAGAAAACGAAGCCAGUCUCAACAGUGCCUCCAAGGACCUGAAGCUUCUCCAAGUGCUGUUUUGAAUGGGAAGGCAGGAGUCGGAACUGGCCAUCCAGGACUGUCUACAUGGCCUCUCUCUCUUCUCAUCUUCCUCUAAGAAAUUUCUCCAGUUUUUCAAUCUUGACCUCUCAGAAAAAAGAGAUUCUGAUCUUGUGAACUGAUGCUGCAUGUUGAAUGAGUUUUCAUCCUGCAUGAUACUUCAUGGAUUUAUUUGCAUUUUAAUUAUUCUUUUAUACAAAAGAGCCAUAGAAAAGAAAAGUCUGACCCAAGUUUUGUCAAGAUAAAGCAGAGUAUGGGAAGUGGGCAACUGUGAGAACUUGGUUAGAGCCAGUCUGUAUAGUUUAGUAUUUAAUGGGGAAGUUUGGGGUGUGGGAAAUGGGACCUAUUUCCUUUGCUCUUGAGGUUAGGUUGAGCCAUCUGGCUCCCUGCCCUGCAGUUCCCAUAACUGAAGAGUUAUACAUCCCAUAACCCCUGCCCACUAGUGAACCCCUUCCUCAGCUCUGGGACUGAUUGUCUUCAAGCUGAGCACACACUGAGCACUGGGCCUGCCUUCUUCCUAACACAGGUUUUUGUAAGCUCCAGACAUUGGAUAAAGCAUUUUGAGGGAUAGGUGAAAACGAAAUCCUGCCCUUUACUCUUGAGAACUCACUCUGCUGUGGGAGGAGAGACAGGCAGACCUCAGUCUACUGACAGCAUGAACAGAAAGAGAGGGUCUCUUUCUGCUGGUGCUUCGGUUUGAGAACCAGUGCUCCUGACUUUGGUUGGCCAUUGGUGUCUGUCUGAAGAGGGUCUCCACUGCCCCCAGGCAUGUUCCUUCUCUCACUGCUGCCCCCUGGGAUGGAAACUCGACAUCCCCUCUUUCCCUUCCUACUGGCACCAACGGUACCAGAGCAAACCCCACAAUCUCCAUGCCUACAUUUCUUUGACAUCCACCUGUCACCAUCUUUGGAGGAUUCAAGUGAAGUUCUUUGUCUUUUAUGGGACAGAGAUGAUUCUCCACUCCAGAGGGUCUGGAGUGAUUAUAGGAAUGUAAUCGCCUUGAACAAUCAGCGUGUUUUACAGCCUACUGCCCUGCAUUUUGUGUGGAAUGCAGUUGUCUUAUUGCUUGGAACCAGCUCUCAGUAGACCUCAGCAGCUUAUAGACAAACCCGAGUGAACUUUCCUCAUGACCAUGCUAGUGUCUCCAUCCUGGGAUGAGCCACAGCUUCAUCACCAUAACAUGCAACCUAUGUGCUGGUGUGAUGACUCGCUGUGUCUGCACCACUGAGGCUCCUCCUCCACAUGCCAUGACGCGUCCUCUCUUCUCUCCAUCUCCCCAUGAAGUCCUCCUGUCACUUUCCCUCAGGGAGACAUGGCUUUGGAGAGUACUCCCAACAGCAUGCUUAUUUGUGCCAAGUAAUAAAACUCCUGUUGAUCAAACCUACAGUCUCAAGGAGAUUGAUUUCUUACUUGCCAAGCAAAAGAACCUGGGUUUUUUU
rnacentral:lncRNA from 1 species